rnacentral:rRNA from 1 species
GCACAAGCGGUGAGCAUGUGGUUUAAUUCGACGCAACGCGAAGAACCUUACCAGGGCUUGACAUCCCCUGACCGCGUAUGAAAGUACGUUUUCACCCUCGGGUGACAGGGAGACAGGUGGUGCAUGGUUGUCGUCAGCUCGUGUCGUGAGAUGUUGGGUUAAGUCCCCGCAACGAGCGCAACCCCUGUGGUUAGUUGCCAGCAAGUAGCGUUGGGCACUCUAGCCAGACUGCCGGUGAUAAAUCGGAGGAAGGUGGGGACGACGUCAAAUCAUCAUGCCCUUUAUGUCCUGGGCUACACACGUACUACAAUGGCCGUUACAACGGGAAGCGAAGGAGCAAUCCGGAGCAAAUCCCUUAAAGGCGGUCCCAGUUCAGAUUGUGGGCUGAAACUCGCCCACAUGAAGGCGGAAUUGCUAGUAAUUGCAGAUCAGCAUGCUGCAGUGAAUACGUUCCCGGGCCUU